CCUACGGGCGACUGCAGUGAGGAAUAUUGGUCAAUGGGCGAGAGUCUGAACCAGCCAAGCCGCGUGCAGGAUGACGGCUCUAUGGUUUUUAAACUUCUUUUAUAUGGGAAUAAAGUGAGUAACGUGUUCCUUUUUGUAUGUACCAUAUGAAUAAGGAUCGGCUAACUCCGUGCCCGCCGCCGCGGUAAUACGGAGGAUGCGAGCGUUAUCCGGAUUUAUUGGGUUUAAAGGGUGCGUAGGUGGUUAGUUAAGUCAGUGGUGAAAGUUAGUGGCUCAACGAUGAAAUUGCCGUUGAUACUGGUAGACUUGAGUGUAGUUGAGGUAAGCGGAAUGCGUGGUGUAGCGGUGAAAUGCAUAGAUAUCAGGCAGAACACCGAUUGCGAAGGCAGCUUACUAAACUAUAACUGACGCUGAGGCACGAAAGCGUGGGGAGCAAACAGGAUUAGAUACCCGUGUAGUC
rnacentral:rRNA from 1 species